rnacentral:tRNA from 1 species
GCUUGGCUAGCUCAGUCGGUAGAGCAUGAGACUCUUAAUCUCAGGGCUGUGGGUUCCUGUCCCACGUUGGUCA